AGAGAUCCGCUGCCAUUUCCUCCCCCAGGCCUAUCAUUCUAGACCCAGCUGACCCCACCAACAACCUAGGAAGAAGAGGAAAAUGGGAACUGGUGGCCAAAGAAGCUACUUACUGCCUGCUACAGUUGUGUUGUGUGACUGCAGACCGCUGGAAUGUUCAGGAAAAGUUGGUAUUUGUCCGCAAAGGUGGCCCCACUGCAAAUGAAGCCAAGGGUAGACAGAUAGGGUCUGACAGUUGCCUGCCAUCUGGCCAUCAAGUGCCAAUGGCUGAGAAUGUCCCCAAAACCAAAAGGACUCUUGGGAAGCAAGGAAAAAUGAAAUAAAAACAAUCUACCUGG
rnacentral:lncRNA from 1 species